GGAAAUUCUGUUUACCUAAAACUAAGAAGAAACUUGAUUCUUGUCCAGCAGGUUAUUUUUCAGUAAAAGAAAUAGGCUUUACACUAAGAAUUUAUUUGUGGCUUUUGAUGAAGCUGUGAGCCUUGCGAAACGGGACAAUGUAGCCAGGCAAACCGGUUGCAAAUCUCCCGCCGGGAGCAGCCGGAGAGUGUGGGCGCUCCCCUGUCUUCUUGAUUUGACCCUCGGCAUUUGUGAAUAAAGCUUUGGAUUGCAGCAGCGGUCUUUUGGCGUGUCCUUGGUGUGCCUUUGCCUUGGAGUUUGGGACCGUUCCCCCUGUCCUUUUGCCUCCUCAUAUUCCCAACAACAUCAUUUUGGUGAGCUCAAUAAGCUACAGCAGGAGGGGAGAUGCAGGAAGGUUCUAUUCCAGAGGUGGAAGUGCAUCGACUGAAAAUGACCUUUAAAUCUUUAGAACUUUACUUUCAUUGCCUUGAGUUCCAUAGGAACAGAGUUGGAAGGGGCCAUCCAGGCCAAUCUUCUGCUUAGUACAGAAAAUCUUAGCGUAUUCCUGAUAGAGGGCUUUUCACUAGACUUUGCUUGAAAACUUGCAAAAAGGGACAGCUCACCUCACCCUCAGAUCCAUCAGCAAACAUUCCAAAAGCUGAGGGCAACAACGAAAAGAAUAAUGUAACAACAGCAUUUAAGAAUAUUACAUAUAUGAAAAGAAAAAAAAGCACCAUGUUUAAUCAACUACCAGAAGAAAAGGAAACAACAAGGAGCUGAAAUAGAAGGGGAAAUGUCUCUUUGAUGGCUCAUUAUGGAGAAUGGAAUGUGAAGAGCUCAUAAAAAGAGGAAUUGGUCUAGCUGCUAUCACAUUUGGAAAACAUCUAAAGAUUAGGAAAGCAAAAGCAUAAUAAGAAAAACAAUAUCUCUUAUUGAUGAGAUAAUUGCAAUAUAUUGCUUGAAGAAUGAAGAUCAAUGGUUAGAGACACAAGUACUUGUGCGGCACUUUAAUUAAUAGAUUAAGGGAAGGGCUGUGACUUAGCAGUAGAGCAUCUGCUUUGCAUGCAGAAGGUUCCAGGUUCAGUUCCCAGUAUCUUAAAGGAACUGGUAGUAAAAGACCUCUACUUGAAAGCCUGGUGAGCCACUGCGCUCAUAGUAGAUAAUACUGGCAUUGAUAGACCAAUGGCAGCUUCAUGUGUUCAUUCAUUGUAACCUUUUGUGAAAUGCAGCCCUUUUUCAUAGUACAAAAGACUACUGUAGUUAACUCUGGAAUUCAAAGAAAGGUAUAUAUGUAUAAGACCCAUUAAAACUAAUGAAAUUUAAGCAUGCACAUAAGUGUUACAGCCAUCACUGAUUUCAUGAGACUUAUGUUAUACUAUCUCCAUGUCCUUCAUCAUCUUCAUCUUCAUCAGGUGCUGGUCAGCCAUGGUGUAUGUAAACAGCAACUAUUUCCAAUGUGCACAAGGCAUUUCAUCGGCCAGCCAACAGCCAGUAAACAUUUAAUACUAUUAACUAGCACCUCUUCAUUUAAACAUAUCCAGACAUAAACCAUAGUAGGGAAACACCUGGCUG